rnacentral:rRNA from 1 species
UACGUAGGGGGCAAGCGUUAUCCGGAUUUACUGGGUGUAAAGGGAGCGUAGACGGUUAUGCAAGUCUGAAGUGAAAGCCCAAGGCUCAACCAUGGGACUGCUUUGGAAACUGUAAAGCUGGAGUGCAGGAGAGGUAAGCGGAAUUCCUAGUGUAGCGGUGAAAUGCGUAGAUAUUAGGAGGAACACCAGUGGCGAAGGCGGCUUACUGGACUGUAACUGACGUUGAGGCUCGAAGGCGUGGGGAGCAAACAGG